CAGGGGUCUUGGCUGAAGCAGUCGGUGGCACCCAGGCCUGAGCAUCAUUUCCUGCUCCUCGCACAGAGAGGGUGGAUGCGUCACCAGUUGUAGGGUUUCCCUGUCAACUCUCGUGAAUGGUGCAGGAAAAACACCAGAAUUGCCUAGCUACAGGGCGCCGCCAUUGUGGACACCCAAAGUUGUGCGGAGAAGAAAAGUUGACAGGAGAUCUGAUUGGUCAUUAACAGAAAAUCUUUGUGAUGGAAUUUAA